AUAUCCUAUAUGUGCAUUGCAAUACAUGUGUACCCCAUGGGCACCCAUAUCCAAACUGCAUUUUGGCUUUCUUCUUGCACCGAAAAUCUUGGGUCGAGUCAUUCGUUAGCAAUGAGGCAUGUUACCCUUCAAAUUUCUAGCACCUUCUAGUGUCAUUUCUUCCUAGGUUGGAAUUCCUAUUUGGUGGAUUCAGUCUUGCUAUUUGAUACUUAA
rnacentral:lncRNA from 1 species